rnacentral:rRNA from 1 species
AUUGAACGCUGGCGGCAGGCCUAACACAUGCGAGUCGAGCGGAUGAAGGGAGCUUGCUCCUGGAUUCAGCGGCGGACGGGUGAGUAAUGCCUAGGAAUCUGCCUGGUAGUGGGGGAUAACGUCCGGAAACGGGCGCUAAUACCGCAUACGUCCUGAGGGAGAAAGUGGGGGAUCUUCGGACCUCACGCUAUCAGAUGAGCCUAGGUCGGAUUAGCUAGUUGGUGGGGUAAAGGCCUACCAAGGCGACGAUCCGUAACUGGUCUGAGAGGAUGAUCAGUCACACUGGAACUGAGACACGGUCCAGACUCCUACGGGAGGCAGCAGUGGGGAAUAUUGGACAAUGGGCGAAAGCCUGAUCCAGCCAUGCCGCGUGUGUGAAGAAGGUCUUCGGAUUGUAAUGCACUUUAAGUUGGGAGGAAGGGCAGUAAGUUAAUACCUUGCUGUUUUGACGUUACCAACAGAAUAAGCACCGGCUAACUUCGUG